rnacentral:rRNA from 1 species
GAUGAACGCUGGCGGCGUGCCUAAUACAUGCAAGUCGAGCGAACAGAUGAGGAGCUUGCUCCUCUGACGUUAGCGGCGGACGGGUGAGUAACACGUGGAUAACCCACCUAUAAGACUGGGAUCACUUCGGGAAACCGGAUCUAAUACCGGAUAAUAUAUUGAACCGCAUGGGUCAAUAGUGAAAGACGGUUUUGCUGUCACUUAUCGAUGUAUCCGCGCCCCAUUAGCUAGUUGGUAAGGUCACGGCUUUCCAAGGCAACGAUGCGUAGCCGACCUGAGGGGGUGGUCGGCCACACUGGAACGUAGACACGGUCCAUACUCCUAAGGGACGACGCAGACGGGAACCUUCGGCAAUGGGCGAAAGCCUGACGGAGCAACGCCGCGUGAGUGAUGACGAUCUUCGGAUCGUAAAACUCUGUUAUUAGGUAAGAACAAAUGUGUAAGUAACUAUGCACGUCUUGACGGUACCUAAUAAGAAAGCCACGGCUAACUACGUG